rnacentral:tRNA from 1 species
GCGGAUGUAGCUUAGCGGUAAUGUGCCUGCCUUGCAAGUACAAGGUCCUGGGUUUGAUUCCCAGUACCGCC